CGCGCAUCCAAACUUCCGUAUUUCCUGUUUCAUACUUUCUCUUCUCAUUUUACCUGAAAUGCAGCUCUGUCAGGAGUUUAAACUUACUUUACUCGCAUUGCUUUCAGUCGCCUUUCUGCUCUGCGGUCCUAAUGUGAGCUCCGGAGACACUUUGAGUAAAUUAAACAGCUCAGAAGUGGAUUUCUGGGCGUUCAUUCGAAAGUUUCAGCGCGAGUAUGAAGACAGCGAGGAGUUCGAACGUCGGUAUUUCUACUUCCAGAAUGCUACUAAGCGGCACGUCUCCCUGAACUCGUUUUCCUCAGAGCUGCAGUCAGCUCAAUACGGGAUCAAUCAGUUUUCUGACCUCUCACAGGAGGAAUUCAGAGAUGUGUACCUGCGGGCCGUCUUCCACCGAGCGCCUCCUUUCUCUGGGCUGACGGCGCCGAAGCUGCCCGCCAAACUGGACUGGAGGGACAAGGCGGUGGUGGCGCCGGUCCAGGACCAAGGAGCUUGUGGAAGCUGCUGGGCGUUCAGCGUGGUCGGCGCCAUCCAGUCUGUUCGCGCCAUCGGAGGCUCACAGCUGGUGCAGCUCAGCGUGCAGCAGCUCAUCGACUGCUCCUUCCAGAACGCCGGCUGCAGCGGCGGCUCCCCGUCCUCGGCUCUUCGGUGGUUAGAGCAGACCAGGCUGAAGUUGGCGACGCAGUCGGAAUACCCGUACCAGGCGGCCACGGGAAUCUGCCGCUUCUUCUCCCCGUCACAUGGCGUGGUCGCAGUGAGGAACUUCACAGCUCAUGAUUUCAGCGGUCAGGAGGAGGCCAUGAUGGCUGAGCUGCUGCAGCGCGGCCCCCUGGUCGCCGUCGUGGACGCCGUCAGCUGGCAGGACUACCUGGGCGGGAUCAUCCAGCACCACUGCUCCAGCCACUACUCCAACCACGCCGUGCUGGUCGUCGGAUACGACACCACAGGGAAUAUACCCUACUGGAUAGUGCAGAACUCCUGGGGAACAACAUGGGGGAACCAAGGCUAUGUUUAUAUCAAAAUGGGUGGGAACAUCUGCGGUAUUGCCGACUCGGUUGCAGCCGUUUUUCUCUGACAGGAUGGGGGAAUCACUCCGUGAACACAUGAACCACUGCCUGCCUGUGUUUUUUGCUCCAAAAUACAAAUCAGUCGUCUGUUGGAGUUGUUGUUUUUUUCACUUUUGUCACUUUAUUAAACAGUUCACAUUUACAAAUAAAUCACUUCCUGUGUUUCGCAUUAAAUAUACAUCACUGCAAAACAGCACUAAUAUGAACAGCCUCACUGUACAAAAUGCUUCUUAAAUACAUGUUGUUGGUGACAUUCAUGUCUGUACAGAGAUUACGUCAAUCACUGCACGAAUACAUAGAAGAACCAACAUAUCGCCACAUAAAACACUAUACAGACCUCCACAACAGCUACAUUACUAUGUACAGACUGAUAUCUUAUCACUGAUGCUAAUGUUUUGGGGUUUUGUCUUUCUCAGCGCAGUGCCUUCUGAUGGCGGCGGUCUGAAAUGACCUCACCUCGCUGUUAAGGAAAGACAUUCCAGUAAAAAACCCCUCGUCAUCCCCAAAGCUGUGCCAGCGCGCCGGGUUUGAUCGCCGACGGCUUUGUUUUCAGGUCACUCUAAUGUCAUUUACAUAAUUUGAUUGAGGAAACAUCUAAGCAGCUCUUAUCGAAGAGCCAUCUGCGGCACUUCGUGACUGGCGGUCAAGAUGAGAGCAAAGUCGUCCAGAUCGGCGCCGCCAUUAAUCUGCCGCGAAGACAAUGUGUCACGUGCGCCGUCAUCUUAUUACUUCCCACUUUGUUUUAUUUGUUUUUGUCUUUCUUUGCUCGAAAUGUACAAACUUUACACCUGUUGUUUCUCAGUAUUUACAUAACCAGUGCAUACACGUCAGAACAAUCAACCAUUUACAUUUCUAUUCAAGGAUUUCAACUGAUUUAAAACGUCAAAUUAAAUCACAGCACACUCUAAAAUGUUUCUCUCAUCGCAAUGAGUUUUUUGAAUCACUGCAUUUGACUGUAAUUGAGUGUGUCCAGGUGUAACUCAGCCGUCUCCUACAGCAGGUUGCAUGGAGCCGUUCGUAAGCCGGACGGAUUGAUGGAUUAAAGAAAGCAGUUUCUCAUGCCUCGCAGGUAAAUCUACCGUCUCUGAGCUCGUGAGCCUGCGACAUGAAGGAGGCGCGCUCCGCCCACGCGGACGCCCCGCUGCGAGGCACGCUCUAGUCUGAGUCCUCGCUGCUGCAGUAGGAGCUGUCGCAGCACUCGGCCAUGUACAGGAAGGUGUGAACGUUGGGAUUCAUCUUGGGCACCCAGUGGCGAGGCACCAGGAAAUUUGCCAGAGAAAUGAAAUGAAGCGGGGUGUGUUUGCAGAGGGAAAUGUGCCAUCAUGAGAUGAGAAGUCGGCGUUACCUGACGGUGGAUCUCAGGGUGUCAAUAUCCAUGAGGGAUGUGAGCAGCUGGAAAGGAACCUGGAAGCGCGGCUCUUCCCUGAAAGAAAUGGGACUUACGUGUCCGCUGAUGAAGAUCUCUCGCACCGAGUCCAGCUCGAACAGGAUCUGCUUGAACCACAGCUCAUAAGCUGCAAUAAAACACAAAAGGUUAAAGCACCAGUGGCAUUUUAAUGUCUCCUUACAAGGCCAUUCUGGACCAGAUUCCCCUCUUCAGUUGGCACCUUUUGGUCUCGUGAGCCACGUGUUUAACACCCGUGCUGCCUGCUGAAGGCCUGAUGAAAGACGAGUAAUGGAAAUAUGGGCCUUUAAAUGUUUGUUGUCCUUGGAGGAGUGAUCAGGUAUGCUUUCAAUUCACCACAACCUCAUUAGAGAACUCACUCUGUUGACUAUUUCAUGUCUUCAUAAUUAUAUAAUAACCUGGGCUGAUGCUCCUGAUUGCGUAUUUCGAGCAUCACGUCGGUGAUCGCUGCGUUUGUACCGAUCGGUUGGCUCUGAAUCGCUGCGGCUGUGAUCCUAACGUGUUUUCGCUUCGCCGGAGAAGUUGAACUUCUGUCGCUUCCUUGAUGUGCAUCUGCAUGCACACCCCGACCCGCCGGACGAAUUCCAGCUCCGCGCAGUCAGAGUGGAGCGUGGUGUGGCCCGUGGCUUUCUUCUGGGAAGUAAUGUGUGUCCAAGCCUGCUCUUGCAGAUUGUAAAAUCAUUUCAUGUUUGGUGGUGAGAUUCCAUAUGGCUGCCUUCUACAAAAAAAAAAAAAAAAACAGAAAAAGAUUGAAGAGAGACUCAUCUGAAUUAUGCAACAUGCUUGAUUUUUUUUUUCUAUUGCUCUGAUGUGGUUAUUGCACAAUGAUUGUGGGUCUUUGAUGCUCUUGCGGAGUCGUGCCAUCUCUUUUAUGUGAGCCUUUGAAGUAGGCCUAGUUGCGCGGCGUGGCGAUGCGGCACGCUGUUGCCUUGGCACUGCCUUCUGUGGUCACAGUGUGAUACUGCAGCGCCUCAUUUUCAUAUCACCACUUUAACUAUUCCAUUUGACGCCUCUUUCAAUUAACCUGCAAGAGUCCAGAAGUGUUUUUUUUAUAUAUAUAUAUAUUUUUCCUCCUCCAAACAUUGGGCUCACUAAUCAGUGGAAUUUGACUGAGCUGUUUGAAGUCGGAGCUCAAAGCGGCAGUAUGUUGAGUUUUAUAGAAGCACAGCGAUGGCUGCUGUAGUGAGACGCUGCUCUACUUUGAGAUAGGCAGAUAAAACACGCCGCUCUGUGAUUGGACGACUCUGUGAACUAUGCACUUUGCACCACUAGGGAGCAUCAGAGGACUUUUAAGAGAAUGGGGGAUUUAAAUGCAUCAUAUUAGACUCGGCCGAGUGUCUGUUCGGGGUCUUUUCUGCAGGGCCUCCACUCGCUCUGUGUUGAUAUAUCAAAAACAAAUGGGCCGGCUUGAAGAAGUUCACUGUAAUUUCACUGUGGAAGAACAAUAGACAGGCGCUCACUGGGGGUCUUUAAUAAAACAUUUCAUUACGAGUCGGUGGUGAGGGGAGGUGGUAUACCCUCAGGGAGUCUGAUGAGAAGACAUGAAUGCUGGAUUUGAAGAGGAGCAACAUUCAAAGAGAUGUACCUUUGUGGAGCUGAACAUGUCAUAAAACAUUUGGAAUUAAAAAAAAAACAACAUGUAAAGAAUCGGGGGGGGGGGGGGGGGGGGGUGCUGCAGCACUUGAGAGGUCAGAAACAACAGCAUAAAAGAACUUUUGAGCAAAGAAUAUUCUGGCUGGUAUUUGGUUUGAAAUGCUGUUUGAAGUUUACCAUGAAAAAGAAGCUGCGUUCAGACGACGGGCUUGUUUUCAACUGUUCUGUAUUCCAUCAUCAAAACGCCGGCAGGCUUUGAUGAGCAGCACUCCACAGGAAAACUGAUCACAACUCACACCAAAUUUAAACAAUAUCACAUGCUCUUAAAGUCUUCUGCGAACAUGACGCCGGCCGGGAAGUUUCUCAGUGGAAGUUAAUUCCAAUUAGAAUUUCUUCAGCUGCAAUUAACACACGGCGGUUCAAAGCCGGGCUGCGCUUGUCUUCUCGGGCUUCGCUUUGGAGCGGAGAAGACGUAAAGUCGUUGAUGUAAAAUGCGAUUAUGAUGAUUUUGGAAAGUGAUUUGUGUGUGUGUGUGUCUGUGUGUGAAUAACCCCACCAGCUU